GGCGAGGACCGCCAGCAGACGCUGCCGUGACUCCGUGCGGUCCGCUCUUUGUGCAGCCCAGGUCCACGCGGUCCCUUUCUUGGCCAGCAAGCUGUCUGGAAAGGAGAUGGGUUAAAAUGCGGAGCUGAUAACUGUGGGGACAAAAUUGACUUCCACGCACGUUGCCUUUCCUGUCUCAGGCAUUCUCUUUCUCAUGCUUUAACAUUUGUCCACCUAUGGGAAUCUGGAGGCUUUUCAUCUCUAAGUCUCAGCAUCCUGAUCUCGGGGGGAUGGGGGUGGGGGAGAUGAAUUGGCGGCGGCUCUGUGGCGGAAGUCAGGCAACGAAGUGAAGCCAGCACACUUGGGCUUUCUCUUUGUGAGUUCUCACUCCCCCUGGCUCCAGCCUCUGGUGAAAGCUGCAGAGUUUGGACUACUCCUGAAUUUCUGUUUCUGGACUGGGUUAGCAAGAAGUAAACCAAUCGAGUCAGUCUCUUACCCGUAACUUGUUUUCCAUACCUGUGUGACGCACUUUCCUUGGGCAGGGCCGUUUGUCUCCAGCUCUUGGGUCCAGCAUUUUCUGUAUCUUUUGCUCGUGACUAUUCCAGCAUGGAGCUCUGUGUCUCUUGGUUGGGAAUGGCCAGAUGGGUCUGAGGGAAAAGUUUCUGUGUCCAACUUGGAUGUGUGAGACAGCGACUCCCUCACCAAAGUUCAGAACCUCACACAAUGUACGUUUUUAUUCUUUACUUUGCAGGAGGUGUAAGGGCAGAGCAGGCAAAGGACAAGUAGGGUGUUAGUGGGGUACAGCCCUGCAUUUUUUAAGGGCAGUGGCCCUUGCACUGCAGGAGGAAGUGCAGAGUCAUUUCAGCGCCCUAGAGAAUAAGGGCAGUAAUUUUGCCCUUUUUACUCUUUGUUGCACUUCUUGGUCUCUGCACGGUGAACAGGUAUGUGAAACUUGUGCAUGUUCGAGUGGAGUGCUGUGUCUACGUGUUCCUGACGCUUUGGUGAAAACUUUACAUAGAAGUUGACUUUUCGAGUUUGUAAACAUCUGUGCUAGUUGUACCAUACUGUCAUGCAGACAGAGAAAGUGUUGUGGACAGACGAAAAUAAAGCAGCAGUCGAGUUAUGAAAGAGCAUUUUGCCCUUAGCAGAACCAACACGGAAAGCAUCGACGAUGUUCAGAAAUACACGGCUACAAAACUUACUGCCUGCUUUCCGUUGUAGGAACGUCCUAUUUUCUAAGAGCGCGGUAACUCCACGCUGAAGGGCCCGAAACGUUUCCCUGGGCUGUCGGAUCUGCCCGCUUAAUUCCUUUCACUUUUGUUUACGCGCUGAAUAAACACUGCUCUGUGGCAGCAGACCUGAGCCGUCAGAUGGAAUCGGGGGGCCGCCGCAGCGUCUCGCGCAGCAGCUUCAGUCACCGCCGACGAUGCACCCUCUGGUGGGAGCCUGCUGGGGACUAUUCCACCCCUGCACACAGAGCGCUUGGAAAGCCUCCGAAUCAAAGCAGUACUGGUCUUGAUGCAAAGCCAAUGGAAAUAUCUACAUUACAUUUAAUGGCCUCUGGAGCAAGCACUUACGGAAAUGUGAUGUCUUACUGGGCUGCUUGCUACAACCACACCGAUGAAGAAAGCAGUGGCUGCUGUCAAGGGAGGACUGGCCUUGAAGAUAUGUGACUUGAUAUCUGUGAUGGUUGUAGUCUUCCAGUACACACUUACAGAUGACCUUACCACUAUUUCCACAGAAUCAUAGCUAGGAUUGCAGAAUACCUGUGGCUGACUGGGACCUCUGCCAGAUAUUGCCCAGCAUGACCCUCCUGCUCAGGCAGGGGCAGAGAGAACAGGCUGCCCAGGACCGUGUCCAGUUGAGUUGUAUCUCCACAGAUGGAGACUUCACAAGCUCUCUGGGUAACCUCUGUCAGUGUUCAACCACCCUCACAGCGAAAAAUUGUUUCCUUAUGUUCAGAAGGAGCCUCCCGUGUUUCAGUUUGUGCCUAUUGCCUCUUGUGCUGUAUUCAUACACACAGUAAGCCUGUCCUGAACAUUUCCUCCCUGAGACAGAAGAGCCCCAUAUCUCAAACUCUGCUUAUUGCCCAGCCCAGGAAAGCAGCUCCCCAGGGCAGAAAGAUGCAACAAGCUUGUUCCUGCAAGAUUUCCAUCUUAUCUCAGACUUGUAGACUUGAUGAAACUCUGUGAAACACAGAGGAAUUUCUCAGAGGGCUCAGUGUCCUCAGGAGCCACACUUGCUGCCUGCAGCCCUCCUGGCACGCUGUCCUUGUCUGGGCACAGCCCCGGCACGAGCCAGCAGCUCAGUGGGUCUCCUCUUGGAGGCUGCUUCUGGACAGUGCUCCCCUCAGCGCUCCUGCCUGAACCAGCUUCUCCACUGCUGCCAGACAGGAGAAGCUCAGCUCAGCCCGGUUCAGCUGCUUUGGGCAUAUUUGGGACACGUCAGGUCAGAAUGUUACGCUUUUGAUAGGCAUGGGUCAACUGUUCCAGGCUGAAAGCAAGGGCGUGCUUCACUUGGUUUUUCAGUGCAGUGAGCAGUGAUAGCGGAGGGGUGAGAUCGGUCAGAAUACGGAGCAACCUGGACACAUGGACAGUGUUAUUAUGUAUAAAAACAGUUGAAACUUAAAACUGAUUGGAAAAAAAGAAGUGACACAAAAAUGAGAUUCUUUUUGAUGACAGGAUCGACUUCCAUUAAACCAUCCACAGUUGAGAGCUUGCUGCCUUAAAGAGGCAAAUGGCAAUCUUGAUUUAAAACAAACAAAUAAAUCUCCCCUUUUUCCUGUUUGCUUAUGCCACUAUUCCCACUAUGUAAUCUGAGCAUAAAGGAAAGCAUGCUGCUAAACUUUCUGAAGCCUUCAUUUAGCAUCUGCAUGUAGAACUUUAAAAGAAAAAAUACAAACAAGUUGAACGUACAUAUGGAGACUUGGAAGAUUGUAUCACAGAUAAGGAAAACGCUUAGGAUUUUCUUUUUGUAUGUGUAAUGCCUUUGCAACCUACUCGCAACGUUAUUCCCUGCAUGAGGGCCCCCUAAUUAUUUCAUCAUGCAGCAGGAAAUUCUGGUAGGUCAUAUAUAAACAGCCCGAGGCAGGGACCUCUUCAUCAGAUAGAGCGUGACAUCUGACAUCUGCGCAGCCUGCCGCUCGCAUGCCACAAUUAGCCAGGCAGCCCCAACACUAAUGCAAGAGCAACUGGGAGCGUGGGGCUAACCGGUGUGGCAAAGGUCUCCCCUAAUCCCGACACAAACAUAGGAAGUGUCCCUUCCUAGGCCCACGUCCACGCUGAGCUCAGCAGCGGCGCAGUGCUGCCUGCCCACACGCUGUGGGGCCCCGGCCCUCCUUCGCAGCAAGCUCUGCCCACGCGUGAGGAGAUGCACACAGCCCUCUGUAAGCUCCGUGCAGAGCCAGCUGUCUGCAGAAGCUGUGCCGCAGCCAGGAUGCUGUGCCAAGGCAGCAGAGGAGCAGCGCAGUUACUGUGCCGUGCUUGGAGCAUGCCCUGGCACUGGGGCACCGCUGGGGAUGGUGUGGCUCCACCAGCUGAGAGGCAGAGAUCACGGUGAGAAGCAGCUGGGAGCAGGAGACAGCUGACAAAUCAGGUGACUGUGAGGAAUCAGGGCUCUGUGUCACACACGAUCCACAAUUGCUUAUUUUUUCUUUUAACCGUACUUAUUUUUUUAGUUCCUCUGUUAAAAAAAAAAAAAAAAGAAAAAGCAAAUUAUUUUUCCUAAAAUGAGUAAUGGUCAGUGGUAUUUCCUUGGCACAGAAAAAUGGCUCCUAAGAGAAAUUGUUGCAAGUAGCAUUCCAGGGAGAACUUUGAAGUAAGUGGAAAAGUGCAGGAAAAGCAUGUGCCACCAUGCUGCCCUCCAGCAUUUUUACCUGAAAUUCCCUGCUCUUCACCUCCCCUCCCUGUGCAGGCUUGCCCAGGUCCUGCCGUGAGCUCAGGAGGGCUGUUCAGCACUGCUGGCUCUGGCACUUGGUUAGCUCAUGUGCCUUUCUUGGAUGAAAGAGACCCCGGGAAAAACAAAGGAAAACUCCAAUUGAAGGAAUGCCUCAGGGAAAGAACAGUUCCAUAAGGUGACGUGUUUCUUCCCUCUGGUGUGUAUUUCCACAGCCUUCAAACAUACCACUCUCUUUCAUUCCUAUUAAUAUUGCUGUUGUUGUUCAGACUAUUGGUUUGUAUUUUCAUACACCAUGGCUGCAUUGAACUAAAACUUUUUUUUCCUGAAUGCAUUUUUGGUCUUCAACCUUAAGUCCAGUCCUAGCAAAGUCUAUGUUUAGCAGUUUUCUGCGGUCUUUCAAAAUCUAUUUACAUAGGAAAAUGUUCUUUUUGUUAGUGUGCAUUUAAAAACAUGAUAAAUUCUACAAGAUUGAAGAAAUCGAAGGCAGCCUCUUAGGCUUGCUAUAGGACUGCUGGGCACGAGCUCUGCUGAAUCUCGCACUAAGAGUCUUCAUACAAACAAUUCAUAAUCGGUCUUUUGUCAACUUUCAGUCAUUCAGUAAUGCUUAGGAUUUCCUGAAAAGUCAACUUUUUUCUCCCCCCAGGGUAGGUGACCGAAUCAGGUUAAGUUUGUUUGCUGCAAUCAGCCAUUUUACAGUCAAAGUGUAUUGCCACUGAAACACCUAUUUUCCUCUGCUCUUCCCCAGCAUACUGUCUGCAUUAGCUGCAUUUAUAACCAGCCAGUUCCUCGUUAACUUUUUUCCCAAGCUACCAUUCCCUUAUUCCAUCACGACAAAUUUGACUGUGAACUUUUACUUAGACAAGUGUAGCACAGAGUAUUUUUUUCUGCAAUUUGUGGAAGUUUAAAAUCUAAUAUCUGUGAUGGAUUUUCUGUAAGCUUUCUGCUUACAGCUUAAAUAAUUGUGUUCUUAUCCUGUCUGCAUUCCUGACCUUGGUGGUAUUCCUCAACAUCUCUUUUUCUGUACGUUUAAUAAAGGGAAAUAUUCAACCUUAAAACUUUCAGAUUUGCCUGUCAGUGAAAAAAUAAAAAACCUACAACCUCUUUUACACAGCUUUUAAGGGGAAGUUCCCAUUUACUUGUAGCUUUCUCUGCUGUAUUUGCAGCCUAAGACCAGGAUGUUCAGCUGGAAGCGAUGUCAUUUUCAUUUUUCUUUAAUCCAUAAGCAAGAACAGUGUCCUAUGAAUGUAAGGCUAACAUUACCAACAGCAAAUGAUGGUGCACUGCCAAACUUCAAAGCAUUCAGUUUAUUGUCAUCUUAUUACAGAAUAGAUAACAGAUCAUUUCCCCCCUUCAAUAAACAUUGAAGCAGUAGUUGUCACAGGGGUGGGUUAGGAGGGAAUCCUCUCAAUCCAUUUUUUAAUUCACUU